UGUUCAUUAAUUGUCUAGAGUGCUUAGG
rnacentral:piRNA from 1 species